UCCCAGCCUUCCCACUGGCUAGUGAGCUGUUGGAGGAAAAGGUGCUUGAGUUUUUCAUCUUGUGCCUCUUUCCCACAUAGCACUGUACCUUGCACGUUCUAAGCCUCCUCAAAAGAGUGUGUGGAUCCAAAUGGCAGCUUUUCAGGAACUGUUUUUAAUUUUCUUUGAGAAGAACAGACAAAGUGAAGGCUCAGAAAUGAGAAAGGUAAGUGUUCUGAGGUAAGAGGUAAGGGUUCUGUAUUGCAGGGCAAGCCUUAACUCUUCCCUCUCAAAGCAACAUCUAUCUGUCUACCCAGAGAUUCAUCUCCAUGUCUCUAGUGGAUCACAUUCAUGCACACCUCUAAGGACAAGGAUUCAGUUUAGGUGAAAGAUAAAUCUUGAGGGACUUCCCUGGUGGUCCAGUGGCUAAGACUCUAAGCCAGCUCUGAAUGCAGGGGGCCCAGGUUCAAUCCCUGGUCAGGGAAUUAGAUCCCACAUGCCACAACCAAGAGUUCAUCAUACGCCACAACUAAAGACCUCAUGUGCUGCAACUAAGACCUGGUGUGGUCAAACAGAUAUUUACUUAGACAGAUUUUUUUUUUUUUUUAAAGAAAGAAAUCAGUAUUGUCAUUUGCUGCUGCUGGUGGUAUCUGCUCAGUCAUGUCUGCCCUGUGGUCUGUCCAUGGAAUUCUCCAGGCCCUCCUCUGCUGCUGCUAAGUUGCUUCAGUCGUGUCUGACUCUGUGCGACCCUAUAGAUGGCAGCCCACCAGGCUCCACCGUCCCUGGGAUUCUCCAGGCAAGAACAAUGGAGUGGGUUGCCAUUUUCUGCUCCAAUGCAUGAAAGUGAAAAGUGGAAGUGAAGUUGCUUCAGUCGUGUCCGACUCUGUGCAACCCCAUGGACUGCAGUCCACCAGGCUCCUCCAUCCAUGGGAUUUUCCAGGCAAGAGUACUGGAGUGGGGUGCCAUCGCCUUCUCCAAGGCCCUCCUCUAGGGCUGUUGAAAAGACUGAGUGAACCAGAUUUUCAGCCAAAUAGAGGACAAGUAGGAACAGCCAAUUACUGAAUUAGAUGGAGAUAUUGGGGUGUCAACGAAUAUCUUGUCUUUGCUAUAAAUUAUCCAUCUGAUUACAGCUUGUGCCUUCAAGACUAGUUUACACUUCAAGAAUUUAAUUUCAGGCCCUAAAUGACUAUGCGUGGCUGAAAAUUCCCUUGUGCAGUGGCAGGGAAGGCUGCCAGUUACUAGCAGUGUCUUCUGUUUUGGGGUACCUGAACUGGCUUCGUGUGUGUGUGUAUGUUAAGUCAUUUCGGUCAUGUCUGACUCUUUGUGGCCCUAUGGACUGUAGCCUGCCAACCACAACAAAAUGACUUUCUAAAGCAUUUGGGUCAACCAAGCAUUUGCUGCAAUGAAAGACAUCCUGGGGCUUCACAAAUGUUAAGUUUGGAAUCACCUCUAUAACAUUUCCAAAAACCUACUCAUAUCCUUUCACUCCCAUGGCUAUGAUCUUUUAGAUUGCUGGAACAGCAUAAUCUUGUAUCUGAAUUAUAGCAAUGAUGGUGAGAUGUGGAGUUUCUCAAGCUUCCAGUCACCCCCUCUUCUCAUCAUCUCUGGUGGAUUCCCUCCUGCCUCAGGACUUCGGUUAUAGGAAGGAACAACAUCUCCAUCUGCAGCCCAGGUCUCUCGUGGAAUCUGAUUUUGCAACUGCCAACUGACCAGGAUCACUUGCAUAUUCCACUCACAUCUCAAACUUAAAAUGCCAAAAAUGGGACUAUUAUCUUCCUAUUCCCUUCACCUAAACCGACUGCUCAAAGGUGAGAGAUUUGGGCCACUGCCUUUCUCGUUCA
rnacentral:lncRNA from 1 species